UGGGGAAUAUUGCACAAUGGGCGCAAGCCUGAUGCAGCCAUGCCGCGUGUGUGAAGAAGGCCUUAGGGUUGUAAAGCACUUUCAGCGAGGAGGAAGGCAUCAUACUUAAUACGUGUGGUGAUUGACGUUACUCGCAGAAGAAGCACCGGCUAACUCCGUGCCAGCAGCCGCGGUAAUACGGAGGGUGCAAGCGUUAAUCGGAAUUACUGGGCGUAAAGCGCACGCAGGCGGUUUGUUAAGUCAGAUGUGAAAUCCCCGCGCUUAACGUGGGAACUGCAUUUGAAACUGGCAAGCUAGAGUCUUGUAGAGGGGGGUAGAAUUCCAGGUGUAGCGGUGAAAUGCGUAGAGAUCUGGAGGAAUACCGGUGGCGAAGGCGGCCCCCCUGGACAAAGACUGACGCU
rnacentral:rRNA from 1 species